rnacentral:lncRNA from 1 species
GGGGCAGAGUGGGUGUCAGAGGAGGCGCUUCCUGAAGAUUUUCUUUUCCUUACUGUUACUAUUUAUUUAUUUUGUUUUUUUAGGGCCGUACCCGUGGCACAUGGAGGUUCCCAGGCUGGGGUCUCAUCGGAGCUGUAGCUGCCGGCCUACACCACAGCCACAGCCACACGGGAUCUGAGCCACAGCUGCGACCUACACCACAGCUCACCUCAAUGCCAGAUCCCUAACCCACUGUGCCAGACCAGGGAUCAAACCCGCAUCCCAGUGGCUCACAAGAUACCACCCAUCCCACUGCACCAGCAGGAUCUCCUAAAAAUAAUCAUUUUAACGUGAUCAGUUCAGGGCCUGGAGGUCUCUUUGCAGUGUCGUGCAGCCACCACCUCUGUCUAGUCCGGGGAUGUUUUUAUCCCCCAGAGGGAAGGGAACCCUGGACCCGGCGCCUUGCUCCCCCGCCCCCCUCCCCCCCCUCAUCUCUGAGGGUCUGCCCAUCCCUCCCGGAGGUGGAGUCAGGCAACACGUGACUUGCUGUGACUGGCUGUCCUGCACGAGGUUGUCCAGGUUCGUCCUGUUGCCCUGUAUCCGAAUCUCAUUCCCUCACGAGGUUGGAUAAUCCACCGCCGCGAGGAUGGGCGGCUGGCGGGCCCGGGCUCGUGCGCUGCUGCCGUGCACGUGAGCGGGGACGGGUCCUUCUCUGGCUCUUAGAGUCCAGUUGGAUAGAAGGAAGCGCUCGACCAAGAGCCACGCAGGUGUCCUCCUGGGCUUCGUCCUGGGGACACAGAGAUGACCUGACACCAUCGCUGCCCUCACAGAGGCUGGAUACACUGCAGACAGACAGACAGGUUUCGGCUCUGCCACCUGCACAAAAGGCACGAUGGCUAACUCCUCGGGCCUCAGUUUUCUCAUCUGGAAAAUGGGUCUCAUGAGAGUUGCUCAGCCCUGGUGUGUUCCCCGGCCCCCCCUCCCAGCACCCUCCUCAGGGGAGGGCAGAAAGCAUCUGCCCGAUUCACCCAGUCCGAGAAUCCACAUCCAAGAUUCUGUGCCGGGCUGGGCUCCGCCUAGACAGAUGAUGGUGAAUAAGAUGGAUAUAAAGGCAGGAGGGACCCUGCCGUGAGCUGUGCCCAAGGGACCAGCCUGAGUGGCCGCUCGAGGCUCCUUGGGAGCUUUAGCCUUGGUGCUCAGAGCAGUGGGCGCAGUGAAGGGUUUAAAGCCAAGACAUGAUGGGAUAGGAUGCGUGUGCCAAAGACGGCUGGACCUACAGGUGAAGGACGGUUGGUCGGUCGGUCGGUCAGUCGGUCAGUCGGUCGGUCGGUCAGGGCCCCUCACAGCGGGGAGGGGCCACCAGGGAAGUGGGGGGCCCGAGACACAGGAGGAAAGACCGACAGGUGUGUUGAACUGGCCACAUGGGAGAGAGCUCCAUGUCCCCCUGAACAGCCAUCACCUCCUUUCACCACUCCUUUCUUUUUUGAUGUGUUUGAUGGUUCCCUUUCACUCUGCUGCUUCCACCAAUUGUCAAAGGAUUGCAACGCCCUGGUGACAGCUUGGCAAAGCAUAGACAGAUAGUAUUUUUCCCCUUCCAGCCACAAAGAAACAACCUUUGUCGGCAUGCUGGCAGAUUUCCUUCCAGUCUUUUUUCUAUGCAUUUUAGCAAAUGAAAUACUACAGUGGGUGUGAUCUCCUGUCCUGCUUUUGCCUUUAGCGCCCUGGCCUCAGCAUUUCCUGUGUUCCUGGAAGUUCCAUUUCCAAAGAAUAUAAAAAGUUCUGCUGCCGGGAUGUGUCCCUUGGGGUAGCUGCUGCCCAGGGCUGGACCUUAAAGUUGCUUCCACUUUUAUUAUUUUAAAUUACCCUGCAAUGAACACCCUCUCCAUAAACCUUUGUCCAUGUUUUAUGUUGUCAAUCCCUAGAAGAGAUUCUCUGAACGUAGGUCGUAGAAACAUAAAUCACUUUAAGGCUCUGGCUGUAAAUCACCGAAUAAAUGGCUUUCGGGAAAGGUCGGACCGUCAGCCCUCCCUCCAGCCAUGUGCCAUUUCACCCCAGCAUCCUCAGCCCGAGUGUGGCUGGUUUUCAAACCCUCCCCCCAUUUACAGCCCAGCUCAAAGUUCCCCUCCUCCGUGCAGCCCCCGGAUUUCCCCUCUCCCUCCUCCACUUUCCCACACCAGGUGCUCCCUCUGCCCGCCCACCCCAUCCUGCCCCACGGACUCUGUCUGAUGCUCACAGACACCAGGCUGACAAGCCCUCCACCCACCCAGCUUCCCAGCCCCAAUCCAGCAGCACCUCUUGAGCCUCUGGAAGAUGCCAGGAAGCUUCCCUAACAGCCUCUGCGGUGGGCAUUAUGCUCUUUUUACAGAGAAGCAACUGAGACCCAGCCCAGAGAGGCCAAGUGACUUGCCCAAGGUUGCAGAGCUGCUAAGUGGGCUAGAAUAGCAACAGCUCCCACUUAACAGGGACAUCCUCCAGGCCAGCUAAGCCAUGUACAUUCCUGAUCGGAAUUUAUCCUCCCCAAACCCUACUGUGCCAGUAUGGUUAUUAUUCUCACUUUACAGAUGGGGAAACUGAGACCCAAGGUCACCCGGCUCAGAAGCAGCAGAGCCUCGAUCCGGAGUCUGUGAGGGUCCCAGCCACGUCCUUUGUCUCUCAGAGAGCACGGGCAGGAGCCCCCACCCCAGGUGCGGGGUGAGCCGGCUCCUCUUGGGCUCCAGCAAAUUCGCAGGAACUGCUUGGAGCAUGCCCUAUCUCCACGUCUUCUCUUGAACCUACUUAUCUCCUGCACUUUAUUGACUCAGCUUUCCUGCCAAUCCGCCUGGGCGGGAACAGCCCUUUUGGGAUAACUGCUGCCACAUUCCUUGGAAACUGCACCCUCUGCCUGGCCUUGGUGGCAUCUAUCACUGAGAAGCACUGACUCUAAGCCCCACCUCUGUCCUCCAGCCCCUCCCUGGGAGGCCCCAGAGGGCAGGGAGGAAAAGUUUCACUUCCCCCAUCGCUUGAACAUUUAUUCAGCUAACACUGAUUGAGCAUCUACUGUAUACCAGGCACUCUGGAGGCAGCAGGGAACAGAUCAGACAUAACUCCUUGCCCGCCUGGAGCAGACCUCCCAGGACGAGGAAGCUGGCAAUAAAGAAAAGCAGUACAUAGGAGUUCCCACAGUGGCUCUGCAGGUUAAGAACCCGACUAGUAUCCACGAGGAUGUGGGUUCAAUCCCUGGACUCGCUCGGUGGGUUAAGGAUCCAGCGUUGCCAUGAGCUGUGGUGUAGGUCACAGCCGCAGCUCCAAUUUGACCGCUAGCCUGGGAACUUCCAUAU